CCCUUAGAUGUUCGGGGCUGCACAUGCGCUACACUGAAGGAAUCAACGUGUAUUUGCCCUUGCCCGAAAGGGUUGGGUAACCCGUUGAACCUCCUUCGUGCUAGGGAUUGGGGCUUGUAAUUAUUCCCCAUGAACGAGGAAUUCCCAGUAAGCGCGAGUCAUAAGCUCGCGUUGAUUACGUCCCUGCCCUUUGUACACACCGCCCGUCGCUACUACCGAUUGAAUGGUUUAGUGAGAUCCUCGGAUUGGUCCCGCCACGGGAGGAAACUUUCGAGGCGGAGUGCCGGGAAGACGAUCAAACUUGAUCAUUUAGAGGAAGUAAAAGUCGUAACA
rnacentral:rRNA from 1 species